rnacentral:rRNA from 1 species
UUGAACGCUGGCGGCAGGCCUAACACAUGCAAGUCGAACGGUAACAGGAAGCAGCUUGCUGCUUCGCUGACGAGUGGCGGACGGGUGAGUAAUGUCUGGGAAGCUGCCUGAUGGAGGGGGAUAACUACUGGAAACGGUAGCUAAUACCGCAUAAUGUCGCAAGACCAAAGAGGGGGACCUUCGGGCCUCUUGCCAUCGGAUGUGCCCAGAUGGGAUUAGCUUGUUGGUGGGGUAACGGCUCACCAAGGCGACGAUCCCUAGCUGGUCUGAGAGGAUGACCAGCCACACUGGAACUGAGACACGGUCCAGACUCCUACGGGAGGCAGCAGUGGGGAAUAUUGCACAAUGGGCGCAAGCCUGAUGCAGCCAUGCCGCGUGUAUGAAGAAGGCCUUCGGGUUGUAAAGUACUUUCAGCGGGGAGGAAGGGAGUAAAGUUAAUACCUUUACUCAUUGACGUUACCCGCAGAAGAAGCACCGGCUAACUCCGUG